AGAUGAUGUGCCCCACACAUGUGCCCCACACAUGUGCCCCAUAGAUGAUGUGCCCCACACAUGUGCCCCAGAGAUGAUGUGCCCCACACAUGUGCCCCACACAUGUGCCCCAUAGAUGAUGUGCCCCACACAUGUGCCCCAUAGAUGUGCCCCAGAGAUGUGCCCCACACAUGUGCCCCAGAGAUGUGCCCCAUAGAUGUGCCCCAUAGAAGAUGUGCCCCAUGGAUGUGCCCCACACAUGUGCCCCACACGUGCCCCACACAUGUGCCCCAUAGAUACACCCCACACAUGUGCCCCAUAGAUACACCCCACACAUGUGCCCCAUAGAUACAGCCCACACAUGUGCCCCACACAUGUGCCCCAGAGAAGAUGUGCCCCAGAGAUGAUGUGCCCC
rnacentral:lncRNA from 1 species